CCUACGGGAGGCAGCAGUAGGGAAUCUUCCACAAUGGACGAAAGUCUGAUGGAGCAACGCCGCGUGAGUGAAGAAGGGUUUCGGCUCGUAAAGCUCUGUUGGUAGUGAAGAAAGAUAGAGGUAGUAACUGGCCUUUAUUUGACGGUAAUUACUUAGAAAGUCACGGCUAACUACGUGCCAGCAGCCGCGGUAAUACGUAGGUGGCAAGCGUUGUCCGGAUUUAUUGGGCGUAAAGCGAGUGCAGGCGGUUCAAUAAGUCUGAUGUGAAAGCCGUCGGCUCAACCGGAGAAUUGCAUCAGAAACUGUUGAACUGGAGUGCAGAAGAGGAGAGUGGAACUCCAAGUGUAGCGGUGGAAUGCGUAGAUAUAUGGAAGAACACCAGUGGCGAAGGCGGCUCUCUGGUCUGCAACUGACGCUGAGGCUCGAAAGCAUGGGUAGCGAACAGGAUUAGAUACCCCUGUAGUC
rnacentral:rRNA from 1 species